UGUUCUCUUUCAAACAAAGCAGAUCGGUUUUUCCCACCCCACUUUAUUUAGUCACACACUCGCUUUGCACAUCUGUUAUUUUUUUCAAUAUUCUCUCCAGCGCCUCUAAUGUGCCGAGUAACUUCUGCUUUACCUCUUCUCUGUCCUUUGCGUCGUCUGUCAUCGCAGGCGCGGCUCCACACUCGUGACCUGGACUGGUUU